rnacentral:lncRNA from 1 species
CUUUGUUUUGCUUUGCUUUUUUUCUUUACAGAAACAUUUUUAACUUUUAGUUUAAUAAUCAGCUUUUUUUCAGGUUAUGUAAAGUAGACAUUUUCCAUGGUAUAAAAUAUUCAUUUACUACAGUAAUUUUUAAAACAAUUUUGAUAAAUAUAAAAAGUAGUAAAGGCUACAAAAAGACAACCCACAGAAUGGGAGAAAAUAUUUGCAAAUGAAGCAACCGACAAGGGAUUAAUCUCCAAACUUUAUAAACACCUUCUGAAGCUCCAUAACAAAAAAACAAACAACCCCAUCAAAAAAUGGGCAGAUCUAAACAGGCAAUUCUCCAAAGAAUACAUACAGAUGGACAGAAAACACAUGAAAAGAUGUUCAACAUCACUAAUUAUUAGAGAAAUGCAAAUCAAAACCACCAUGAGGUACCACCUUACACCAGCCAGAAUGGCCAUCAUCAAAAUUCUACAAAUAAUAAAUGCUGGAGAGGGUGUGGAGAAAAGGGAACCCUAUUACACUGUUGGUUGGAAUGUAAUUUGGUGCAACCACUGUGGAAAACAGUAUGGAGUUUCCUCAGAAAACUAAAAAUAGAAUUACCAUUUGAUCCAGCAAUCCCACUCCUGGCCAUCUAUCUGGAGAAAACCAUCACUCUGAAAGAUACAUGCACCCCCAGAGUUCAUUGCAAAACUAUAUACAAUAGCUAAGACAUGGAAGCAAGCUAAAUGUCCAUCAACAGAGGAGUGGCUAAAGAAGAUGUGGUACAUAUACACAAUGGAAUAUUACUCAACCAUUAAAAGGAAAGAAAUAUCAGCAUUUGCAGCAACAUGGAUGGACGUAGAAAUUAUCAUGCUAAAUGAAGUCAGUCAGACAGUGAGACACCAACAUCAAAUGCUAUCACUUACAUGUGGAAUCUAAAAAAAGGACCCAAUGAACUUCUUUGCAGAAAAGAUACUGACUCACAGACUUUGAAAAACUUAUGGUUUCCAAAUGAGACAGGUUUGGGGGUGGGGGGUGCACCAGGGGUUUGGGAUGGAAAUGUUGUAAAAUCAGGUUUUUUUGAUGAUCAUUGUACAAAUAUAAACGUAAUAAAAUUCAUCAAGUCACAACUGCAGCUUGGAUCUGAUCCCUGGCCCAGGAACUUCUCUGUGUCAUGGGUAUGGCCAACAAAGAAAAAGACAAAAACCAAAAACUUUUGUUGCAUCAUUUGUAAUGAACACAUGGCAUUACGUAUUACCGUUCAAUUAAAAAACAUUCUUGUACAUUUUUAACCUCUUUAGGUAAAUUAUUCAUUUGGCCAAAAGGGAAAUCAUUAGGCUCAGAAUUCCAUGGUGAGUAAAAUCAUUAAUGACUAAGUGGCCAGGGUCAGGCAUGAUGUGAAAACACUUGUUCUGCCAAUCUAUUUCAUGCCGGAUUCUGAGCUAAAGUAUUUUUACAAUUUGAGAUUCUGGACCUUGUCAGAGAGUUCAUGGAUGCCAAGUUGUUAUGUAAUCAUUAAAAUAACAAGGCUUUGGAAGCACUAGGAGAUAAAUAGAGCAAUUUUUUGAGAUUUUUUGAGAUUUUUCUUUUGUCUGAUCAGGGCAAUUCAUCUUUUGAAUUACUUGUACUACCACACAGAGCAUAAUUUCCAAUGAAAUUGUAACUCAGCACAUUUUCUCUAAGGGCAACCUGGCCUUCAUCCUGAUCAUGGUUCCAUUUGGAAAUAAUAAACAUCAUAAAGGACAAGAGUUUUCAUACAGAGCAUCUUACAUUAAAGGUCUGACUGAGUAUGAUCAGCACUCCAAAUUGUAAAGAUGGUGCCAUGUUCUAAAAAGACAUUUCUGAUAGGAUAGCUGUAUAUCUCAGUAGGCUAAUAAUUCAGACAAUUUUUGCUACAGUAGAUGUCAGAGACUGACACAAGUUGUUGGAAAAGAACUUGGAACGUAUGUGUUUUUUAGACAGUUAAAUUGGGGUAGGUAGAAACUGUUGGCUUCUUUUCACAGGACCAAACGUGCUGACCACCUUUUAUGGACAGAAUCUCUAUCAUUUGUUUCCCAAAAAAAACAUUGUGUAGGGAUGUGGGUGUGGGUAGGUGUAUGUGUACGUGAGCGGUCAAAUGCUUUAAACCAGGCUUUAGUUGCUAUUUACUUCAAUUUCUACUCAAAUAAAACACAUGUAUCCAACAUGCACACUGCCAUUUGUUUUGAGUACAACACUAAGAGAAUUUAGUGAACCAGCUCUCAAAUGAGACAAUUCACUACAGACCACAGAUGGGUUAUGACAGAAUGAAAGAGGAGUGAAGAAACCAAGGGAAUAAAUUAGAGGAUAGAAAUUAGGAAAAGAAAUGAAAGCAGAUGAAAAUUUGGAAAGCAAGGAAGAAAUCAAAAUGUUACUUAGAAGUAAAGAUUUGAGCAGAAGUUUAAAGCAUGAACACUGAGGCUUAUUAUGGAAUAAUUGCUUAACCUUUGUCCCAAUUUCUUCUAUAAAAUGCCUCCCACCUACACUAUAGAGUUAUUUCCAGGGCUAAAUGAGAAAAUGCAGGUACAGCAUUUAGCAAAAUAAAGUGAAGUAGAUGUUCAAUAAAGGUUAGUUAUUAGCAUUAAGUUAGGGUAAUUAACAUUAAGAGUAUUGUGAUUAUUUGUAUUACUUAUAGAAAAUUACUAUUUUAACAUAAUUUUUUCUUUCAUCUUCUAAAUAUCAGUUAUUCUAGGUGUCAAAUCUUGCCAUUCCUCUUUUUUAAAAAAGUUUUAAUGCUGAUCAUAAAGUUUAUAAUAUAAAGAAUAUUAGGAAAAAUAGUAACAGUCAAAUUAGUUCCUAAGAUAUAAUAGCGAUCUUUAGCUAACUCUUUCAAGUUUUCCUGUAUGAAUAAAGCUGAGAUCAAUUUCCUACUUUUUAAUCCUCUGCCCAAAUAUGAUUUGGAUGUCCAGGAUUCUAAGGAAAACAAGUCUUUCUCCAAAGACUUUAGUACUCUUCCCUGACUCCUUUUCUUUCCUACUGUUUUUAUUUUCAAAAGAUCAUUCACAAAAUUUAAAAUCUCAUUUUGCACAAGUAUUCAUACUAGAAGGAGAACAAUCUAAUCAUUCUUUCAGAGGAGUUACUAUCUUUAAAUUUAUAUCUGUAGUCUAACUUAAUUUUUUUUUAAGUAAGAGUGAACUCUGAGGACACAAGCUGUAUUUUUGCCUUUUUAUCCAUCAUAGUAACUAUUUCAAAGCUGUCCAUAGAGCAGACAUCAAUACACAUAAAUUCAUGAAAAAUGUUAGAAAUGAGAAAAGGACAAGAAGCAGAGGUUAAUUGCAAAGGUCAUCCAAUUUAAAUUCCUAAUGAGAAUUCAGAGUCUUUUGGGUUUCACCUUUUUCACUAUGAUUGAAAUGCCAAGUACAAGCUGAACAGUCUGCUAACAAUCUGAAAAGAAAAUAUAUUACCAUGAUUGUACAGAGAAACUGGAAGCGAUUUUCUCUUGGGUUGGAGGUUUAAACAAACAGGAAGCCCUGUUUAGGAUUUGUCUUCAUCAUCUUUCAUCACAAGUCAGCCUGACUUCCUGAUGAAGAAAUGUGCAACUGCCUUUAGAUACUCAACCAAAGUGGGCAGAAAUGCCAGCCCAACAAUCUGUAACUUUAAUUUCAAAGUUGCUAAUCCUGAACACCUCAUCUCCUUGUGACCACAACUCUCUAAGUAAAGUUUUGUCUCUUAAUCUCCAUGAGAAGUGAGCACAAAAUGAGUCUUUGUUAGUAUCUGGCUUCAUAUUUAAAGGAUCUCAUUUUAUUUCUAUGAUUGAAAACAUCAAAAGGGAUGAGAAACAAACCAAAUACUAGACAAUAGUCAUAAUCACAGACCCCUUAAAGUGUUUUCUACCCAGAAUUAGUAAAAUAGUUUUCUGUAGGUACUUGAAAAAGUAUUAUUUAUGAAAUGAAACAAAGAUUUUUUUUAUCAAAAGCAUAGAGUUAUUUCAAGAUGGAAAAUGAAUAUUUCACAAUUUAUCUCUAGUCCAUAUAUCUAAAAUUUAAUAUACUAUCUACAUUUCAAAGUUAGCAGUUCCUUCUUAAACUUCAAAUUUCAUGAAACUAUUGAUUAAACUGCCAUUACUAAAAUAACAAAUAUGCUAGUUUUCAGGGAGAAGUAAAAUGUGAAGAUUUUUAAUUCAAAUAAAUAAUUUUUCUACAAAAAAGCUCAAGAUGAAUUGAUAAUUCUCUCACAUAAAGAAGCAAAUUCCAAAAUUCAAAUAUGAACUUCCAGGCGGACAUAGACUAUAAAAGAAUGACUAGUAUGUUAUCUAAUACAAAGUGGAAAAAUAUAAAAUCAGGACUCUUAUUACCCUAAAAAUUAUAAUGAAUUAUCAAUUCACACAGUAGAUUUUUACCAUUACUUCACUUGAUGAAUACGUAACACCUAUUCUCAUUGAUACUUCCAAAUAUGAUUUAUUCCAAGGUUCCAUUUCUAUAGUAUUCUUGAAAAUAUUAGGUUAAUAUGAGGAAGGAAGAGCUACUGUAAUACAAAGAGAAAAAACAAAAGCAUAUUCACUAAAUAUGAUUUGAAUCAGACUGCUAACAAUAAAUAUAUGCAAUUUAAAUACAUCCUGACUCAAUGAAAUUCUUGAAGUUGUUGGCUAAUGUUGAAGCCCAGAAGACAAUGCAGUCAACUGCCACAUCACAAAUAUUCCAGAUGUUUCUUGAACCCAUAGUUCUCUCCCCACUUAUCAAGCCUACAACAACCACCAUUCAGUCUCUUGUAUGGCCUUUCAAAAUAGCAUAUUUAACAUAUAUUUUUUUAACAAGCAAAAGAAGCAAAGUAGAAAGAUGAAAAUUAACGUGAACAAAGAUAUAUAGUUUGUCCAGAUAAAAAUAAAAUGUGCAUUUGUUGAGCAAUACAUGAAUGAAUUUCCUUAGAAUGAUGCAACCCCUCCAAAAAAAAAAAAAAAAUCACAGGAGUCAUCGCCAUGGGUGGUAGGAUGCUUAGUUUCCCACAGGAAGCAGCUCAGGUAAUUGCUUGUUUGUUUUUAUACUGGGAGGCAUUCUAUUAUGUGCCUUUGGGUUUCUUCUAUGAGAAAAUCUGCUGCCUGGCUCAUUUUGUUCCAGGCAUUUCAUAGGCAUUUGUCUCCUGUGUUUAGAAAGUCCAUCAUCUUAAUAAGUGUCCUGUAGAAGAAAUGACUAAAUGGGAAAUACAUGUUGUUGGCAAACAAGCUAUGUUACAAAUAAGAAAAGAGUCUAUAAAUAAUGUAAAGAUAUGAAUUCAAAGUUAGAUGCACACAGUCAUCUUGGGAAUAAUACCAUAAAUCGGAGAAGGGUUAGGUUAUCAGGCCAGUUAUGUCGUCUAGAAGGAAUUCCAGUGUUGAGGCCACUGCUGGGCAAGCCCCAUGAAAGGAAAUAUGGGUUAGCUCAUCACUGCCUACAUCCCCAUGGAUCUCAGUGAGGUCGGUUUAAGAGUUCUGCAAGUAACACUGGCUUGCAUACACUGCACCAUGCACUGUGCUGCAAAGUGGGGAGACAAAUAAAUACUCACUGGUCCCUGCUGUCAUGGAAUUUAGUCCAGCAGAGAAAGCAGGCCCAUGAACAUAUCGUUACAAAGUUAGGGAAGCUCUAAUCACAGAGUUAUUUCCAGCGUGCAGUGGCAUCCUAACAAAAGGCAGGCACUUGCUCCAGUAUGAAGAAGGGAAAGGCUGUCCCAGAGGGCUUCCUGGAGGAGACAAUCCCUGGGGUGAGCUUUGAAGGGUGGGCUGGAUAUAUGCUUCAUCCUUCUGAAUGGUAAUCAUAUUUAAGCAGAGUUAAUCUGGCUAUUGGUCUAAUUUCUCUAUAAAAGGACACUGUCCUGAAUAUUGUUAUAUUACACAAACUAUGCUUUAAUUCAAACAUGGAAUAAUGUUGACUUUAAGAAGGCAAGUCAAUAAAUCACUAUUUUCACACUUUCAAUAUCUUUAUUAUCCUUUUAAUGAAACUACCUUGAUUAUCAUUAUUAAUACUUAUUAGUGGUUGAUGAUAUCACUAAAUGAUUAAUGCAAACCUACAUUCUAAACAUCACAAAAUUCAUUCAUUAAGUCUAUGUCAAAUGUCUAAUAGGUGCAGUAGGGGAUGUUUUAGUGACAAAUAAAGCACUGAACUGGAAAACAAAGACCUUACCAUGCAGUCUAAUAAUUCCCAUAAUCAAAGCAUAAAAACUCGAGUAAACUUGCAGGCUAAUCUUUCAGAGUACUUUUAAGAAAAGUUCAUCAUCCAAGGGAGAAGCUUUGUUCUCUUUUCAGUAUACCUUAACCACAUUAAGAGAUCCAGACCACAUAGUAAGAUUUCUAUUUAUAAAAUGCUGGUGAAUAUGAUGCCUGGUAUUUUUACUUUUUA